UCGGGUUUCUAAAAGCUAUUUCAACCCCCCUCCCAGUUACUGCCACCCUCUCCCAGGUCUAGAGAGGGGUACCCACGGUGGAGGGAGGUGGGAGGCCGAGACGGCCCCGGGGGUCGGCGGAGACCCAGCGGGAGCAGGGGGAAAUCGGAAGAGCUGGGGGCAUGGAGCGGGCGAGUUUGGAGCGGAAUGAGCCGGGAGCCCUACGUUGUGGAAGGAAGACAACAGUAUAGGACCAUCAGCAGGACCGGACAGAGAGGGGCACGUAAGCAGUAAUUACUGGAUGGCAUAGUAAUUCUACUAAAAAUUAAAAUGCCACUUAUUGGAAUGGUGUGUGAACACUCUAAAGCAACCCGGGAAGAAGACAGCAGUCAAGAAGACCAAGGAAGGAAAUGGAGGAGGGAUGACCCCACCAUUACAGGCAGGGAAGGACUGACCAAAGAGACAGAAAUGUAGUCUAGGAAAUGUGUCAUCUUAGAAAGGAACGGGAAGGGGCUGGAGAGGUGGCUCAGAAGUAAAGAGCAGUGGAUGCUCUUUCAGGGGACCUGAGUUGGCCUCCUAAUGUCUUCAGGUACCUCCUAACUGCAUGUAACUCCAGCUCCGGGAGAUUCUGGAUUCUUCUGGUCUCCACGGCACUGCGUUCACGCGCACGCGCGCGCGCACACACACACACACACACACACACACACAAAUUAAUCUUAGAAAAGCAUAGGAAGCCUGAUUUUUUGUUUGUUUGUUUGUUUUGGGGUUUUUUUUUUGUUUGUUUUGUUUUGUUUUUGAGACAGGGUUUCUCUGUAUAGCCCUGGCUGUCCUGGAACUUGUAGACCAGGCUGGCCUUGAACUCAGAAAUCCGCCUGCCUCUGACUCCCGAGUGCUGAGAUUAAAGGUGUGCACCACCACACCCGACAAGGAAGCCUGUUUUAAGAAGUGAUUCCAUGGAGGAGUUCUGCGGCGGCUCAGGGCUUGACUAAACAGUGGACCUCAGACAAGAGAGGCUAAACCAGGCUGCAGGUGACAGGAAGAAUUGAAUAAACUGAAAGCAAAGGGCAGCCUUCUAAUUACGCUUCGUGGCUAUGUGGACAACCUGGAGAAGUCUGGAAACAAAGAAGCCAGAAGCCCGAAGCCAGCAGUAGAGCUCUGACUGGCUUGUAUGCCUAGAAAGGAAGGGCUCUUCUUUCGCCUCACGGGCACAAAUGGGACCCACGAGCGCCGAUUUCAGACUAUUCUGAUCCCUUCAAAAAGAAAGUUAGGAGUCCAGGCUACUUCACUUUGGUGAUAGUAAUCAAACCCUAAUCACGGUGCAGCCACAAGUCACAGAGACCGAAAUAGCAGACUUAUGACAGACAAGGAUGGAGACAGCUAAGGAACUGGCUAUUAAUCACCAGUCCCUCUGCUCACAGCCCAUUGGACCCGAGGGUGAAGGAUGAGGAGGAUGGAAGAAAAUGGGAGUGGCGCUUGCUGCAAAGGGUCUCGAAGGGUCUCAGCACCUGCGAACUGGCUCCAAUCCAAACUCCACUAUUCAUGGUCAAGUUCACAUAGGGCUUGGGGUUCUAACAAGAUGUGACUAAACUUACGUUUUCUAUCUUAUUGAUUGUUGUUGAUGCACGUCUGGUGGUACAUGCUUGAAGAACACAGACACCCUGAGAAGAAAGACAUAGCUCCCCAGAUUCCAGCACGCACUUCUCUGUGAGCUACCACUGUAGCUGAAGAUACAGGGCUCAGGAGGAACACUUGGCCUUCGCUCUGAACUUCAGGCCCACGUAACCAUCAGCCGACAUGACACUGCAAAGGCACCUUAGCUCUGCUGUCCCAGAUGGCCAAGCCAACCUUAUUCCAGAAGCUACUUCUCCUGAUGUAAGAACCAGACACAAAGGACAACCUCUGCCUCACCCUCCUUCACACAACACUGAGUCUGUCAUCUUUGAAGCAUUUCUCAAGCCAUGUUUAUUCCCCUGGCCUACGUGGAACACAGCCAGGGUACGGAACACAACCUCAGCACCGGUCUGCUUUCCUCUCCCCAUUUCUGGUCUUUCUCAGAUGCCCAGAGCUCCUCUGUCCCAAUGACUGCUUAUCAAAGAUCUCACUGUGUCCCCACCCAAGGGGUCUUUGGCCACCCUGUGAAGUCCUAGUGGCCUGGAGUUUGCCCCCUUUCCCAGACACCUUAGGGUUCCUGCUGCAGCUCCAGAACUGGGGGAGCAGGGUUGGGGGUGAGUGUGUGUGUGUGUGUGUGUGUGUGUGUGUGUGUGUGUGUUGACUCACCCUGCAGUAUUCUCUCCAUCUGCACAGGUCCCCAGUCUCUGAGACUGAAUCACCCCUCUUUCACUAUGCCUCUGCACAGCUGCCCUUGUGCUCCCUCUCCUUGCCCCGCCUCUUUUUAAGACAGUAUUAUGCAGCCCUGGCUGUCCUGGAACUUAUGUAAACCAGCCUGGCCUUGAACUUGCAGAGAUCCACCUGCCUUUGCCUCUGCCCCUGCCCCUGCCCCUGCCGCCCCUGCCCCUGCCUUUCUGCCUCUGCCUCUGCCUCUCUGCCUUUCUGCCUCUGCCUCUCUGCCUCUGCCUCUCUGCCUCUGCCUCUCAAGUGUCAGGGAUUAAUGCCUGCCACCUCCCCAGUCCCACCCCUCUCCAUCUACCAUGUGGGUUCCACGGGGCAAACCCAAGUCAUCAGGCUUGUUGGCCAGUGCCUUUAUCCACUGAGCCAAGCCGCUUGGUGUGUCUUUGAUGGUGAUUAUUUACAGGAGCUAUUCAGCAAGGUUAAAUGCUGGCAACCCAAUGAGGGGGUCUCUUGAUCCAAAACUGAGAAGUUGAGGCACUAUUUCAGAAUGACCAAAGACAGUAGAAGAAUCUAGAUAUGUCGAUGAUGAGAACAAUGAUAACUCCAAAAGCUGAGGGAAAUUAACUCAAAAUCUUCCAGCUUCCUUUUCCUUACCUAGUUUGGCGGACUCCAACUCUUGGGAUAGCUUUUUUUCUGGCCCCAAACUCACCUGAUUCGUCUGUCCACUGCCACACUGAAGAAUGAACAGCUGUCUCAGAGAGCUUGGCUCCAGAGCUCUGCAAAAAGAGGACACCUUGCCUUGAGCUGUGUUUCCAGAAUGUAUUGCAGCCCCCAGAGUCAUGUACUGUGACCAGGUGAGGACAUGCAUCUUCUGUUCUCCUGCACCCAGGGCCCCAGCAACCAAGGAUCUGGGGACAUGGCGGGUGUUUGGCAGGUUCGCACUCUGAAAAUAUUUGAUGAGACUCAGUAUAUGCUAAAUAAACACUGGAUCAAGUUCUUGGUCUCUCCUUUGGGGAAUUUACAGUCUAUCCUACAGAGAAGAUUGAAA
rnacentral:lncRNA from 1 species